rnacentral:tRNA from 1 species
UGUUCUGUGGCUUAAUUAGUUAAAGCACUGGUCUAGCGAAUGCAGAGUCGUGGGUUCGAAUCCCACCUAAAUGC